CCCAAUCUUUGCAAGCGUCGUGGAGCCUAUCCAGCUCUUGAUCUGAAGAUAGUAGUUUCUCCAAAUCGACCAAAGGAACUUGAGCCGUAGAUUUGACAGUAGCAUCAUCGCGUGGUUCGUGACGGAUGAAACGGGGAGGAACGGAGGUUAGGAGUGGAUCCUUGGCCAGCUCCUGAACGCAUGGCACUGGCAGGGAGCCCCCCAGCUUGGUUAGCUCUUCCAUCUCAAGUUGUAAUUGUCUCUAAUCUAUGCUUUUUAGUUCCUCUUGUAUGUAUAAUGGCAUUAUGGCUCUGGAAAAAACAAAGCAAAAUGACAAAUUUUACCGCCAACGUCGGUUUAGCUGAAUCCCAAUUGCAAGAAGACAAAAGAAGCGAAAGGCUUAUCCUUUUAUCUACGUAUGACUCGUAUAGGGUAUUAAAAUUAUUCGGAAUCCGUUAUUGAUUACUAUAUUGCUCCGUUCAAUCGGGUAGGACGAUACUAAUUUGGCUAUAAAAAUCGAAUAUGUUGAGAUAUUUUGUGAAGAAAAAGAGACCAUCCAACAGCGUAAUAUAUGGAUAGUGUCGGCAGGGUUGAAUAUGAAUGACCCGUUAAAAAGACGUACAGUGAGCUCUGUUUCUAAGGAUAAUUCUUAGAGUUGAUCGUCAUGUCGCCGGCGAAGAAAACUGGAUUGGUUGGUCGGAGCCGUCAGCUGAGGCACCCACAUCAUUAUAUAACAUUUGUUCGUAUAAAAGUCCAAAUUUAUAUCAUUGAUAAGAUAACAACAACUUGAAAAGUAAUUUCGGAAGAAACCCCAAUCUUUGCAAGCGUCGUGGAGCCUAUCCAGCUCUUGAUCUGAGGAUAGUAGUUUCUCCAAAUCGACCAAAGGAACUUGAGCCGUAGAUUUGACAGUAGCAUCAUCGCGUGGUUCGUGACGGAUGAAACGGGGAGGAACGGAGGUUAGGAGUGGAUCCUUGGCCAGCUCCUGAACGCAUGGCACUGGCAGGGAGCCCCCCAGCUUGGUUUGCUCUUCCAUC
rnacentral:lncRNA from 1 species